rnacentral:rRNA from 1 species
AACGAACGCUGGCGGCAUGCCUAAUACAUGCAAGUCGAACGAACACUUCGGUGUUAGUGGCGCACGGGUGCGUAACGCGUGGGAAUCUACCCUUGGGUUCGGAAUAACGUCUGGAAACGGACGCUAAUACCGGAUGAUGACGUAAGUCCCAAGAUUUAUCGCCCAGGGAUGAGCCCGCGUAGGAUUAGCUAGUUGGUGAGGUAAAGGCUAACCAAUGCUCCGAUCCUUAGCUGCUCUGAGAGGAUGAUCAGCCACACUGGGACUGAGACACGGCCAAGACUCCUACGGGAGGCAGCAGUAGGGAAUAUUGGACAAUGGGCGAAAGCCUGAUCCAGCAAUGCCGCGUGAGCGAUGAAGGCCUUAGGGUUGUAAAGCUCUUUUACCCGGGAUGAUAGUGACAGUACCGGGAGAAUAAGCCCCGGCUAACUCCGUGCCAGCCGCCGCGGUAA